GCUCUAUUCGUCUAACGGUUCAGGACGCCUGCCUUUCGAGCAGAAAACAAGGGUUCGAUUCCCUUAUAGAGUACUA
rnacentral:tRNA from 3 species